GCACUGCGGUUCUCCUGACCGUACUUUUUUUUUCAGUGUAAAGUUUUGGGACAUCAGUGAUUCUGGAAAUAUGAAUACAGCAACUUUAACAGUUUUGAAUUUGAUUCGCGUAUAGUUUUUAAUUUUAUGCGAUUGUUAGAAGUUGAUAACUGUUUUUUUAUUCCUCUUGGUAAAAAAGUGCGACUUUUAAUUUCAUCUGUAGAUGUUCUUCACUCUUGAACUGUACCUGUAUUUGGGGUGAAAGUUUAUUCUGUUCCUGGGAGGGAUCUGACUUUUGUUGAAUUUAUUUUCCAUUCCGAAGAAAAGUUUCCGUUUUAAAAUUUUAAUUUCAAUGGGCUCGUGGAGAUUUUUAAAUUUAUCCAUUUCACGAAAGUCAAACUUUUGAUUUAAUUUUUUUUUUUGACACAACAUAUGAAAAAAAUAUGUUUAACUUAAACAAAUCAUGGAAAAACGGUUGAGUCAUUCACAAAUUAAGUAAAUUGAUCAAAAUUUUUACCGAAUAGACGGUCUUUCUUUUGCACGAUCAAUCGAAAUCGGAGAGAUCAAGUAUUUUUGAGGUUAUGAACGACGCUGUUUGUAGCACGAGAUGAUAAGAAAUCUAGUGAACACUGUUGAAUCUUAGUUUUCAUUUGAUAAGAGGUCAAAUUCUUAAAGUAUGAUUUUUCAAUCCAUAUGUACUAAUUACUACUUGUAUUUUUAUUCCAUCUUUUGCUUUUGUAGAAACUGCUAUGGGAAUCAAAAUUGACGCUUUGAAGAAUCCCAACCACAACUACAUUCGGGCCGUUGAGGAUACCAGUACAAUGUUAAUGACCAGAAUGACGAACCCUGGCUAUGGAAUGAAGUGCUUUUUUUCCUGUCCCAACUGGGCGAAAACACUGGCUGGAUUUGAGCACGAUUUUUGAACUUACCAAUAUGGUGAGUUUGAUAACUCAAGUUAAGCAGCAUCUUAAAAUUUUAGGGGGAACGGAUACUCACACAAUGAAAGUACCUUGUAGUCGCUGGCAUUGUUUAUUUGAGGUUGGCCUUCAAAUCAUAGGAUAGGCAACGGCAACACGCCUACCGAAAAACACGGAGAGGUAUUUUUUUAAGGAUUAUAUGUUCUCCAUGCCUCCACGGACCAAUAUGAGAUGCGUAAACCUAUUCAUGAAAAUUCUCCACAUUAAUAUCUAUACUAAUAAAGCAGACUUCACGUGACUCACUCACUCACUCACUAUCAGCGGA
rnacentral:lncRNA from 1 species